GACGAACGCUGGCGGCGUGCCUAAUACAUGCAAGUCGAGCGCAGGAAAUCGACGGAACCCUUCGGGGGGAAGUCGACGGAAUGAGCGGCGGACGGGUGAGUAACACGUAAAGAACCUGCCCUCAGGUCUGGGAUAACCACGAGAAAUCGGGGCUAAUACCGGAUGGGUCAUCGGACCGCAUGGUCCGAGGAUGAAAGGCGCUUCGGCGUCGCCUGGGGAUGGCUUUGCGGGGCAUUAGCUAGUUGGUGGGGUAAUGGCCCACCAAGGCGACGAUGCAUAGGCGAGCUGAGAGGGUGAUCGGCCACACUGGGACUGAGACACGGCCCAGACUCCUACGGGAGGCAGCAGUAGGGAAUCUUCCACAAUGGACGAAAGUCUGAUGGAGCAACGCCGCGUGAACGAUGAAGGCCUUCGGGUCGUAAAGUUCUGUUGUAAGGGAAGAACAAGUGCCGCAGGCAAUGGCGGCACCUUGACGGUACCUUGCGAGAAAGCCACGGCUAACUACGUGCCAGCCGCCGCAGUAA
rnacentral:rRNA from 1 species